UACAACGAGAGGGGGAUUACAUUUUUUCAUGAAACUGAAAGAAUAUUACGCGAGUGCAACAUCAAUGGUUAUUAUUUUUCUAAAUCAAAUUAGAAUGUGUAAAUGAAAUGUGAGAAACGUAUCACUACUUCUCGAUUAUCACCUUGCGGGAUAAUUAAAUACAAAUCAUUCAUACAAAAAGUUUAACGAAUUAGAAGCCUUUUAAUUACAGAAAAUUUGCAGCUUUUAAAAUAGAUUACAUAGAUUUUUUACAUAGAUUAACAAAAUAUGUUUAUGUGAACUUUUAUAUUUUUGGAUCUGAUGGUUGGAGUUUCACCAUGGUUUCGCUGAGUUCCCAAAACUUUUUACCUUGAGAUGGAUUCUUUAUUCCGUGAGGAAGUUCGGUUUCCUAAAAUUAAUGAUAUGUAGCAGUAAACAAUAUCAUCGUUAUUUAAGAAAUGCUAUUUGUAAACAAAAAAUUGUGGCAAGUUUUGCUUACACGACAAUCCGAAAAAUAUUUGCCAGAAAUUCCAUUAACUUCACUGGACACUGCAAGAUAUAUCGUUGUUUGCGCGCCCUGUUCGAUUGUUUUGGAAAAUG